rnacentral:rRNA from 1 species
CAUUGUGUGGGCGCAGCCUGACCGCCUGCCGCGUGAGUGACGAAGGCCUUAGGGUUGUAAAGCUCUUUUGGUGGGGAAGAUAAUGACGGUACCCGCAGAAUAAGCUCCGGCUAACUUCGUGCCAGCAGCCGCGGUAAUACGAAGGGAGCUAGCGUUGUUCGGAAUCACUGGGCGUAAAGCGCACGUAGGCGGAUGUGUCAGUCAGGGGUGAAAUCCCGGAGCUCAACUUCGGAACUGCCCUUGAUACAGCACGUCUCGAGUCCGAGAGAGGUGAGUGGAAUUCCUAGUGUAGAGGUGAAAUUCGUAGAUAUUAGGAAGAACACCAGUGGCGAAGGCGGCUCACUGGCUCGGUACUGACGCUGAGGUGCGAAAG